GAUGAACGCUAGCGGCAGGCCUAAUACAUGCAAGUCGAACGGUAGAUCGGGUAGCAAUACUUGAUUGAGAGUGACGUAAGGGUGCGUAACACGUAUGCAAUCUACCCUCAACAGGAGUAUAGCUCGGGGAAACUCGGAUUAACACUCCAUAACAUUACGAUGUGGCAUCACAUUGUGAUUAAAACUCCGGUGGUUGAGGAUGAGCAUGCGUCUGAUUAGUUAGUUGGAGGUGUAACGGACCCCCAAGACGAUGAUCAGUAGGGGAACUGAGAGGUUGAUCCCCCACACUGGCACUGAGAUACGGGCCAGACUCCUACGGGAGGCAGCAGUAGGGAAUAUUGGUCAAUGGGUGAGAGCCUGAACCAGCCAUGCCGCGUGCAGGAAGACGGCCUUCUGGGUUGUAAACUGCUUUUUANCUGGGGAUAAAAAGCCCAUGCGUGGGACAUUGAAGGUACCAGAUGAAUAACGCACCGGCUAACUACGUG
rnacentral:rRNA from 1 species